UCCAAAAUAGCACAUUUCUAAGUUUAUAUCACAAAAAUAGCACUCAAAAACUAAAAUGAUCAAAAUAGCAUUUUAUCUUUUGAAAAUUUUAAUUUUUUUAUUUUUCAAAAUUUGAAAUCUUAUCCCCAAAACCUCAUUUUUCAACUCUAAACCCUAAACCUUAAACUCUAAACCCUAAACCCUAAACUCUAAACCCUAAACCCUAAACCCUAAAUUCUAAACCCUAAACCCUAAACCCUAAAUCCUAAACCUCACCUUUUAACUCUAAACCCUAAGUUUGUGACUUUUGAUAAAACAUUAAGUGUUAUUUUUGUGACUUUUGACCUUGAGUGCUAGUUUGGAAACAAAAACU
rnacentral:lncRNA from 1 species